UUAAAGGCGUGAGCCACCACCGCCUGGCUCUAAGCAGAGGUUUCCCAUGGCCUCUUCCUGCCAGACUUGGCUUUCCUCAAUGAUGGGCUGUUACCUGAUUUGAAAGUUGUCAGUUGAAAUAAGCCCUUUCCUCCCCAAGUUGUUCCCGUUCUGGUGUUUUAUCAGCACAAGCGAAACCCUAACUACAUCACCCGACAGCCCAAGGAAGCCUGCUGUGGCUGGUUUGGCUCUCCAAAAGCAUGAACAAGGAGGAUGUGCCUAUUAUUCCAUCCCAGAAGACACCUGACUGUCUCGUGAUAUUGAAUCUGAAAGUCUCAGACCAGGCACGGCCCAGGGAAGCCCUGAGCUUUCCCUAAGACUGUGCUAUUGACUGUGCACAGCACUGGAAUUUGGACCUUAACUAUCUCCUGAAGAGGCAGCAAGCAACACACACACCGACUCACUUGACAGUCCCAGUCAGAGCUGCCCCUGGCCCUUGGGUCAGCUCUCUGAGGAAACUUCCUUCUUGACAAAAAGAGUUAGACUGGAGAAAAUACACAGAAAGAGAAACAAAGAAUGUGCCCUCACCCCCGGCACGGAACACCCUCUGAGAGAGCUGAGGGACAAUACCACAACCACAAACUAAGAAAGAAAGAAUAUUCCAGAAGAGGAGAUUUAACAAACACAAAGAAGAGCUCCAGUUGAAACAAUAGAAGCAUGGCAUGCCACACCUAGAUGUCUCAAAGAAAGAAACAGGAAAGACAAGGAGCUAAGAAAUUGGAGUACAGAAGCUAUUUUUAAAUAGGGGACCUAUUGCUUUGAUGGCACACAGUGGCCUGCCAGUUGACGGACCAGCUUGGCUCCACCCUAAGAUCAGAGCCAUCUUAUUACAAGGUCAAAAGAAGUUCACUCCUAUUUUCUGUAAAACUUGGGUUUGACCAUCUAGACCCAUUUUCCAGAAGAUGACAUGUUCCACACCCUAAACCCUGACCUCCACCCUAAUAAGAUAUGUUAUGCUAAAAAAAAAAUUGAGAUGUUCAGUCACGUUCCUAUGUAACCAAACUUCCUCUGGAAAAAAC